CCCCUAGAUGUUCUGGGCGGCCCGCGCACUACAUUGGCACUGGCAACAAGAUCCUAGAUCUGGUAUUUCGGGGUAUUCUACCAACUGGUGUCGUGACUGGGAUUAACCCCUGCAAUUAUUGGUUAUGAACGAGGAAUUCCUUGUAAUCACGGUUUAUCAACCCGUGUUGAAUGCGUCCCUGCCCUUUGUACACACCGCCCGUCGCUCCUACCGAUGAAUCGUCCGGUGAAGUUCAUGGAGUCGCGGCUGCUCCAGCUGUUUUCGAAGUGAAAUGGACCUCAUGAUUUAGAGGAAGGAGAAGUCGUAACA
rnacentral:rRNA from 1 species